rnacentral:rRNA from 1 species
GGGCCCGCACAAGCGGUGGAGUAUGUGGUUUAAUUCGAUGCAACGCGAAGAACCUUACCAGGGUUUGACAUCCUGCGAAUCUCUUGGAAACAGGAGAGUGCCUUCGGGAACGCAGUGACAGGUGGUGCAUGGCUGUCGUCAGCUCGUGUCGUGAGAUGUUGGGUUAAGUCCCGCAACGAGCGCAACCCACGUCUUUAGUUGCCAGCAUUUAGUUGGGCACUCUAGAGAGACUGCCGGUGAUAAACCGGAGGAAGGUGUGGAUGACGUCAAGUCCUCAUGGCCCUUACGGGUUGGGCUACACACGUGCUACAAUGGUGGUGACAAUGGGUUAAUCCCAAAAAGCCAUCUCAGUUCGGAUUGGGGUCUGCAACUCGACCCAUGAAGUCGGAAUCGCUAGUAAUCGC